rnacentral:misc_RNA from 1 species
AGGAGCUGUAUGAGGUAAUACCUCACGUACGGAUCUGUACGAGGGCCGGAUAACCGGCAUUCCUACCGUGAC